GAUGAAGAACGUAGCGAAAUGCGAUAAGUAACGUGAAUUGCAGAAUUCAGUGAAUCAUCGAAUCUUUGAACGCACAUUGCGCCCGCCAGUAUUCUGGCGGGCAUGCCUGUUCGAGCGUCAUUUCAACCAUCAAGCCCCCGGCUUGUGUUGGGGACCUGCGGCUGCCGCAGGCCCUGAAAAGCAGUGGCGGGCUCGCUGUCACACCGAGCGUAGUAGCAUACAUCUCGCUCUGGGCGUGCUGCGGGUUCCGGCCGUUAAACCACCUUCAUAACCCAAGGUUGACCUCGGAUCAGGUAGGAAGACCCGCUGAACUUAAGCAUAUCAAUAAGCGGAGGA
rnacentral:misc_RNA from 1 species